GGAGAGAUGGUUGAGCGGACUAAAGCGGCGGAUUGCUAAUCCGUAGUAUGGAUUAUCCAUACCGAGGGUUUGAAUCCCUCUCUCUCUG
rfam:Picea glauca, whole genome shotgun sequence.